UACGUAGGGUGCAAGCGUUGUCCGGAAUUAUUGGGCGUAAAGAGCUCGUAGGCGGUUUGUCGCGUCGAAUGUGAAAACCCGGGGCUCAACCCCGGGCCUGCAUUCGAUACGGGCAGACUAGAGUUCGGUAGGGGAGUCUGGAAUUCCUGGUGUAGCGGUGAAAUGCGUAGAUAUCAAGAGGAACACCGGUGGCGAAGGCGGUUCUCUGGGCAUUACCUGACGCUGAGGAGCGAAAGUGUGGGGAGCGAACAGG
rnacentral:rRNA from 1 species